rnacentral:rRNA from 1 species
UGAGGAAUAUUGGUCAAUGGGCGGGAGCCUGAACCAGCCAAGCCGCGUGAGGGAAGAAGGCCCUAUGGGUCGUAAACCUCUUUUGUCAGGGAACAAAAGCGAGUAUGUAUACUAGUCUGAGUGUACCUGAAGAAAAACGCAUCGGCUAACUCCGUGCCAGCAGCCGCGGUAAUACGGAGGAUGCGAGCGUUAUCCGGAUUUAUUGGGUUUAAAGGGUGCGUAGGCGGCGAUGCAAGUCAGCGGUAAAAGCCCGGGGCUCAACCCCGGGCGAGCCGUUGAAACUGCAGUGCUAGAGAAGGCGAGAGGUACGCGGAAUGCGCAGUGUAGCGGUGAAAUGCUUAGAUAUUGCGCAGAACUCCGAUUGCGAAGGCAGCGUACUGGCGCCUGACUGACGCUGAGGCACGAAAGCGUGGGGAUCGAGCAGGAUUAGAUACC